rnacentral:rRNA from 1 species
GAUGAACGCUGGCGGCGUGCUUAACACAUGCAAGUCGAACGAAGCAUUUGCGACAGAUUUUUUCGGAAUGAAGUUGCUUAUGACUGAGUGGCGGACGGGUGAGUAACGCGUGGGUAACCUGCCUUGUACUGGGGGAUAGCAGCUGGAAACGCCUGGUAAUACCGCAUAAGCGCACAAUGUUGCAUGACAUGGUGUGAAAAACGCCGGUGGUAUAAGAUGGACCCGCGUCUGAUUAGCUAGUUGGUGAGAUAACAGCCCACCAAGGCGACGAUCAGUAGCCGACAUGGGAGGGUGACAGGCCACAUUGGGACUGAGACACGGACCAGAAUCCUACGCGAGGGAGCAGUGGGGAAUAUUGCACAAGGGAGCAAACUCUGAUGAAGCGACGCCGCGUGAGUGAAGAAGUAAUUCGUAAUGUAAAGCUCUAUCAGAAGGGAAGAUAGUGACGGUACCUGAAUAAGAAGCUCCGGCUAAAUACGUG